rnacentral:lncRNA from 10 species
CCUGGGAGUACCAGUUACACCCUUUCCAAGUUGUCUGGAAACAUGGAAUGCUAGGCCCAAUCUUAGGGAAGUGGUGCAGCCCAGUUCUAAGGCAAGGAUAUGAGAAGUUGUAUUUAAUGGAGGAAAUGGAACCAAAACCCAGGGGUGCUGGCUGGCCUGGUGCUGAUGUAACUGAAUCAAGGAAAGAUGAGGCUGGUCUGUGGGUGCUGAACAAGCUGCAAACUGAGAUCAACUGUCUCUCCUGGAAAGAAGUGCUGCUGCCAGGGUGAAGAAGCAAAGCUUGGUGAUGUGGAUAAGGCAGCAUCCUUCCUUCUCAGGUCUUCUAGUCUCCCUCCAGAACUCCCAGCAAAGCAGAAAUGUGGUGGGCAGCAUCCCACCUCCAACAUCACAAAGCGGAGUAUGAAAGGGAGAAAGUGAAAGAGGAAUUACCCGUGAGGUCAGUGGCUGUUUUCAAUGCUGGUUACCACUCUGGAAGACAUGUGGCAAAUGU